GCAUAACGCGAAGAACCUUACCAGGUCUUGACAUCCCUCUGACCGGUCUGGAGACAGGCCUUCCCUUCGGGGCAGAGGAGACAGGUGGUGCAUGGUUGUCGUCAGCUCGUGUCGUGAGAUGUUGGGUUAAGUCCCGCAACGAGCGCAACCCUUGAUCUUAGUUGCCAGCACUUUGGGUGGGCACUCUAAGAUGACUGCCGGUGACAAACCGGAGGAAGGUGGGGAUGACGUCAAAUCAUCAUGCCCCUUAUGACCUGGGCUACACACGUACUACAAUGGUCGGUACAACGGGAAGCGAAGCCGCGAGGUGGAGCCAAUCCUCUAAAGCCGAUCUCAGUUCGGAUUGCAGGCUGCAACUCGCCUGCAUGAAGUCGGAAUUGCUAGUAAUCGCGGAUCAGCAUGCCGCGGUGAAUACGUUCCCGGGUCUUGUACACACC
rnacentral:rRNA from 1 species